AUUGAACGCUGGCGGCAGGCCUAACACAUGCAAGUCGAGCGGAUAAAGGGAGCUUGCUCCUGGAUUCAGCGGCGGACGGGUGAGUAAUGCCUAGGAAUCUGCCUGGUAGUGGGGGAUAACGUCCGGAAACGGGCGCUAAUACCGCAUACGUCCUGAGGGAGAAAGUGGGGGAUCUUCGGACCUCACGCUAUCAGAUGAGCCUAGGUCGGAUUAGCUAGUUGGUGGGGUAAAGGCCUACCAAGGCGACGAUCCGUAACUGGUCUGAGAGGAUGAUCAGUCACACUGGAACUGAGACACGGUCCAGACUCCUACGGGAGGCAGCAGUGGGGAAUAUUGGAUAAUGGGCGAAAGCCUGAUCCAGCCAUGCCGCGUGUGUGAAGAAGGUCUUCGGAUUGUAAAGCACUUUAAGUUGGGAGGAAGGGCAGUAAGUUAAUACCUUGCUGUUUUGACGUUACCAACAGAAUAAGCACCGGCUAACUUCGUG
rnacentral:rRNA from 1 species